rnacentral:rRNA from 1 species
AGUAACGCGUGGAUAACCUGCCUUGCACUGGGGGAUAACACUUAGAAAUAGGUGCUAAUACCGCAUAAGCGCACAGCUUCGCAUGAAGCAGUGUGAAAAACUUCCGGUGGUAUACGAUGGAUCCGCGUCUGAUUAGCUGGUUGGCGGGGUAAAGGCCCACCAAGGCGACGAUCAGUAGUCGGCCUGAGAGGGUGAACGGCCACAUUGGGACUGAGACACGGCCCAAACUCCUACGGAAGGCAGCAG